GACGAACGCUGGCGGCGUGCUUAACACAUGCAAGUCGAACGGUGAAGCGCCUUUCUUUUUGGUGGGUGUGGAUGAGUGGCGAACGGGUGAGUAACACGUGAGUAACCUGCCCCCUUCUUCUGGAGAACCGCAGGAAAGUGUGGCUAAUACGGGAUAUUCUGGGUCUGUCGCAUGAUGGGUCUGGGAAAGAUAUUGUUUCGGUGGGGGAUGGGCUCGGGGCCUAUCAGCUUGUUGGUGGGGUGAUGGCCUACCAAGGCGGUGACGGGUAGCCGGCCUGAGAGGGUGGACGGUCGCGCUGGUGCACGGCCACGGCCGGGACUCGUACGGGAGCCAGCAGUGACGAGUAUCGGACGAUAGGCGUAAGGCUGAUGCAGCGACGCCGCGUGACGGAUGGGGGCCUUCGGGUUGUGAGCCCCUUUCGCCAGUGACGCAGUCCUGCCUCGUUUGUGCGUGGGUUGACGGUAGCUGGAUAAGAAGCGCCGGCUAACUACGUG
rnacentral:rRNA from 1 species